ACCGCUGAGCCAUCUCUCCAGCCUGCCUGAAGUUUUAUUUUAAAAAGAAGAUGAGGGCUGGAGAGAUGGCUCAGUGGU
rfam:Mus musculus chromosome 19, GRC primary reference assembly.